rnacentral:rRNA from 1 species
UACGUAGGGUGCAAGCGUUGUCCGGAAUUAUUGGGCGUAAAGGGCUCGUAGGCGGUUUGUCGCGUCGGGAGUGAAAACCAGGUGCUUAACACCUGGCUUGCUUUCGAUACGGGCAGACUAGAGGUAUUCAGGGGAGAACGGAAUUCCUGGUGUAGCGGUGAAAUGCGCAGAUAUCAGGAGGAACACCGGUGGCGAAGGCGGUUCUCUGGGAAUGACCUGACGCUGAGGAGCGAAAGUGUGGGGAGCGAACAGG